UACGUAGGGGGCAAGCGUUGUCCGGAUUCAUUGGGCGUAAAGAGCGUGUAGGCGGCCAGGUAGGUCGGUUGUGAAAACUGGAGGCUCAACCUUCAGAGGUCGACCGAAACCAUCUGGCUAGAGUCCGGGAGAGGAGAGUGGAAUUCCUGGUGUAGCGGUGAAAUGCGCAGAUAUCAGGAAGAACACCCGUGGCGAAGGCAGCUCGCUGGGACGGUACUGACGCUGAGGCGCGAAAGCGUGGGGAGCGAACAGG
rnacentral:rRNA from 1 species